GGAUAUAUCUGUCAAUGCAGCCGUAAAUAUCUGUGAAUGACACUGAGCUUUAAUUUAUGAUAUGAAUCCAUAUGCCAUAAUAAGGUGUUGGUGUCUCUGCAGGUGUAGGUUACCGCCGGUGUCAGAGACGUGGUGCUCGUCGGAGCUUGACUCCCUCUGGAUCACAAAUGUUGAUCAUCAUCAGUUUGAUUGUUUCUUCAGAAACCACAAAAUCUCUCUGAAUGACCCGCUGAUACAUCCACCGAUAACCCUGCAGAUGACCAGCUUCAGUCAUUUCCCCCUUCACAAAAGCAGCUUUAUGAAUUUAUUUACUUUAUUCUCCCAAAUUUACAACUUUAAUCUCUAAAUCUUAAAAGAAAAAAAAAAACUCAAUGAUGUCCUGAUCCUUUGCUGUGGUUUUGUCAGCUUUCUUAUUUCUAAUGUUUUUGAUAGUUGAAGCAGAGCGGAUCAGUUCGUCUCUAAAUCUAUAAUGUUUGGUUUGCAGAUUUUAGUGAGUUCAGAGAUCAUGCUCUCAUACAGCCUGAGCUGACUGUAUGCUGUUUUUGAAUUUCUUGUAUUUUCUUUGAAGACGCGCUGUGUCUCCAAGUGAGUCCAGCCUCUCACCUGAAAUGUGCAGCUGUGCAGCGGCACACAAAGCAUUCUGGGAUACCGACGGCACGAAAGCGUGCAUAAAUGCACGCUUGAAAAAAUGCUAAGCGUGCUUAGCAUUUCUUAGCAUCUCGUGCCAAAUGGGACACCGUUCGCGCCGUCAUGACGUCAUGCACGCUUCAAAUGCACCGUUCGACGGUGCAGAAGUGCACUUAGCCCGAUGCGGUCUCUGAAAUGAGACACAGCCUUAGAUUACACACAUAGGCUAUGUCCGAAAUGGCAUACUGCCUACUAUCUACUGACCUACUCAAGCAGUACCUACUGACUACUCAAAGAUGAUUUGAGUAUGCCGCGGCUGCCCGAGCGUUUACAUACAGAUGCAUACUAAAUACCCCAGAAUGCAUUUCGUGCCGGCCGGACGCAGCGCCGGGAAAAUUUAAAUAGUCCUACCACAAGCUACACAGAACGACUGCAUUCCGGACAAAUUAUAUAAAUUCAUUCAAUAAUAUUUUUUUCAAGCGAGAAAGUAAGUGUUUACAUCACGAUUAUAAGCCCAGUUGUUUGAAAUGGUGGCUGUUUGUAAAUUUGUCUCGGCGUUUUCGGAGACCGAAGCGUCCGCUUGGUGGGUGUUUGCAUCUACGUACCGUAAACACCGGGCAGCAGCAGCUCCCCCUUCACGUUUCCAAAUUAUUGCGUAGUGUUUUCAUAAUCAACAUCUUCACGACACAAACCGGGUGGCAGUGGAUGAAAAAAAUCACACAAACAUCUGUGUAUCCAUGGUGAUAAUGCUAUACACCACCUGCUAGGCGUGUGAUGAGCAGCAGAGGGCUGCAAAAUGACCAACACACAACAUCAUUAUUAUGACCUUGUUCGGUUAUUCCUUGGCAAAUACAUCAUUUCCCGACUACAUUCUUUUCAUGUACAAUGAUAAUUUCAGAAACCAUCAGAUUUUCAACCACAAGUAAGAAUUAGUAAAGCUCACAUAUACAUUUUUAACUGGAAACUCCCCCGUUUUUAUAUUCUGAACCAUGUGCUCUCUACCAAUAAUAAUUUUUAUUAAUCAGAGGUCUGUGCUUAAUAUGAGUGACCACUUUGAUGAUGCAUUCAGAGAUGAGAAGAUGCUCAAACUUGAUGUAAUGAAUACAUCUUUAAUAGACACUUAAAUAAAUAAAGUCAAUUCAUAUGAAUAGUUAAAAACAUUACCUACAAUCCUAAUUUAAAAUACAAAUAAAUCUGGUAAAAAGAACAAAAUAUGUUAAAAUGAUAAAAAUUGUGUAAUGUAUACGGAUUAAAUAUUGUGUAUCUAUUUAUAUAUAUGUCAUUAUUAUUGCAAUCACAUGCCAUCUAUUUCUUUUCAGCCUCGGGAAAGAGGGCCAUAUUACCAGCUGAGGUGCGCAAUGCAUUGUGGGGCAGAAGCAGUACGUGAAGCAAGCUCCGUUUCAUACUCAGAAAUGGAAGCCGAUUGAGUAUACAUCCGGGUAUUUCUCGCAUACACAAAAUUCGCAUACUGUACAGUGUGAACGCACUGCCUACUCAAUUCAGGGGCGGGGUUAGUAGGAGUAGUAGGAGUAGUAUGCCAUUUCGGACACAGCCAUAGGCUGUGUCCCAUUUCAGAGACCGAACCGUCGAACGGCACAUAACGGCGCAUUUGAAGCGUGCAAGAUGUCAUGACACGGCGCGAACGGUGUCCCAUUUGGCACGAAAUGCUAAAGAAAUGCUAAGCGCGCUUUCAAGCGUGCAUUUAUGCACGCUUUCGUGCGGUUGGUUUCCCAGAAUUCUUUGCGUGCCGCUGCACAGCUGCGCAUUUCGGGUGAGAGGCUGGACUCGCUUGGAGACACAGCGCGUCUUCAAAGAAAAUGCAAGAAAUCAAAAACAGCAGACAGUCAGCCCAGGGUGUAUGAGCGCAUGAUCUCUGAACUCACUAAAAUCUGCAAACCAAACAUGAUAGAUUUAGAGACAAUUGAUCCGCUCUGCUACAACAAUCAAAAACAUUAGAAAUAAGAAAGCUGACAAAAUUACAGCAGAGUAUUAGGACAGCAUUGAGUUUUUUUUUCUUUUAAGAUUAUGAGUAUAAGUAUAUAUAUAUAAAGUAUAUAAAGUCAUAAAGCUGCUUUUGUGGAGGGGGAAAUGACUGAAGCUGGUCAUCUGCAGGGUUAUCGGUGGAUGUAUCAGCGGGUCAUUCAGAGAGAUUUUGUGGUUUCUGAAGAAACAAUCAAACUGAUGAUGAUCAACAUUUGUGAUCCAGAGGGAGUCGAGCUCCGACAAGCACCACGUCUCUGACACCGGCGGUAGCCUACACCUGAAGAGACACCAACACCUUAUUAUGGCAUAUGGAUUCAUAUCAUAAAUCAAAGCUCAAUGUCAUUCACAGAUAUUUACAGCUGCAUUGACAGAUAUAUCCGCAGCAUAUCCAUUUCUGCCUCCACAAAAGCAGCGAUUUCCUUCAAGUACACCAUUUUUUUUCCCCGUGGAAAAGACGUAUUUCUCAUAUAUUCUUUUUUUAAGUCUUUAUACUUAUGACAAUGUAAUGCUGAUGUGCCAGAGGAUGAAGUAUCUCCUUGUUUGUGAAACCUAUACUGAAGCACAGUUCCUUCAAAUGCUUCAUGGCCCUAAUUUUAACAAGUCUCGUCUGAAAUAACAGGUUAUGACUUUAUUCUCAUAAAUUAAUGACUUUAUUCUUGUAAAUUCACGACUUAACUCUCGAAGUCUUUAAAAAAAAUUCUCAAUAUGGCCCUCAUACUCCUUCAUACAAAACAAUCAUUGGAUGAAUUUUGUGGGAAUGAUCUGUGCUUUUAUGUAUCUACUAUUUUGUGUCUGUGCAAGGUCGCACAAUUAAAACAAUAAAUGCGGCGCUCCGCAGCUUUUUUUCUAGUCAGUCGUGACGUGAGCCUGAGGGCGGGGACAUUUGGCGACCUUCGGUGGACUUCCUGGUUGAGUCGCCAAAUGUCCCCGCCCUCAGGCCCCGUGUCACGACUGACUUAAAGAAAACCGCUUGAAAAAGGGGCGGGGCAGUGUGGUUUUGAGAACGUUGCUGCAUCCGAAUUGCCAAGUAGUAGUCGAAGUAGUAGUCGAAGUAAUAUGUAGCAUGUCCGAAUUGGCCACCAGAGCGAGAAGCAUGCUACUUCAGAUACUACUUCAGAUACUAGACACGCCCACAUUGUGGGAUGGUCGCAGUGCAUCCUACGGGCAUGCUACUGACCCAAAAUGCACUGCGGGCUUCUUCUUCGUCCUUUUUUUUUAUUUUAAAUUAUUUUUAUGCAAGACAGACAACAAACAACAUCAUUUGUGGUUUCGUGUGUGUGUGUGUGUGUGUGUGUGUGUGUGUGUGUGUAUUAUAUAUUUGAAUAAUAAUGAUAAAAAAAUAUAAUUGUCAGACAAGCAAAUAAUGGAAUCUUAUAAUGGAAAUUAUAAUAAGAAUAAUAAGAAUAAUAAGAAUAAUAUCAAUAAUAAUAAUAAUAAGAAGAAGAAGAAGAAGAAGAAGAAGAAGAAGAAGAAAAAGAACAACAACAACAACAUUCAAUAUUAUAAAAGAUGAUGAGUAAUAAUAAUUAUAUGGGUGGAAGGGAGGUCUUUAAAUUUGGACUACCUCGGGUCCCUGCCCACUGGCAUGAGAUCAGCCUGCACCCCCCCAACCCCUGCAUGCCCCGGACUGAAUGCGGCACAACACCUUACCCUAUGUCUGAAUGUAUAUUUAGUUUUUGUUAUUUACUUAAUAUACUUUAUAAUUCUUAUUUAUUUAUUUAUUUUUUAAUUUCUCUCAUAUAUGUGCUUUCUAAUGUUGUGCAUUAAAACCGAGGAGAGGGGUUGUCAUGAACUAUAAUUUGAUGUGAUUGAGACCCCUUUCCUCUUCCUUAACUAGUGUGAUGUGCAUUAAAAAAGGUGAUGUGCCAUCUGAAGACAGUCCAGGGCGGAGAAUUGGGGGAGGGGGCAGGGGGGGAGGCCGGGAGGGCAAGGAGACUACAGGUCAUGGCCUGACAGGCGCGACCCAGCAGGGACCCGAGUGGUAAAUAGACGGUGUAGAUGUAAGUAUAUAAAUAAAUAAGUAUAAAUAAUAAUAGAAAAUGACAAUGACAAUAAUAUCGUCAUAAUAGUUGUAGUAAUACUGAUGUCGUAAAAAAUAAAAAUAAAUAAAUAAAUAAUAAUAAUAAUAAUAAUAAUGAUAAUAAUAAUAAAUAAAUAAAUAAAGAAAGAAAAAAGAAAAUUGGGAAUGAAAGUGUCAGAGAACUGAGAUGGAUGAUGUUGUGACUGGUUUGUGGCAGAUUAUGAUUGUAGAAAAAUGAUGAAUGAUAACCAGGUAGGGUUAUGAUUAUUGUCUGAGGAGUUUGUAUUUUCUAAGGAGAUGUAGUCUGUGAGCAGGUUUUUCCAGUAUAUGAUGUGUAUGGAGUUCCGAGACUUCCAGUUCAUGAGGAUAGUUUUCCUGGCGAUGGUCAGCGCCACUAGAAGUGAACGUGUGUGUGUUUUGUCAAGUUUUAAUGUAGAUAGGUCUCCUAAUAAACAGAGGGAAAGGGAAAGUGGGAUGUGGCAGCCCAUGAUCUGGGAUAAUGUUUCUGUAAUGUUUCUCCAGAAGUGGUGAACAGGUGUGCAGUACCAGGUUGCAUGAAUGUAGGUAUCAGUGCAGUUUAGUGAGCAGUGUGAACAGUUUUCAGAUGAUGAGAAGCCCAUUUUUUGCAUUUUGUGUCCAGUCAGAUGUAGCGAUCAAGACAACCCUGGGUGUGAAACUCACACAUUCCUCACAGGAAAGUUUCCUUAUCUGGUCCCAGGACACAGGAUAUAAAUCUUUCCAGACUGGUUUAUACUUUCAGGUUACCUAAAUGACCCGACCGGAGGUUGACUAAACCUCUGACUCUUCACGAUUGGUCGAUUCGGAGAACAGAUACAGAGUUUUUAUUACCUUUCAAACUGACUCCAUUGCUGACCAUCUAAAUAAACAUUAACGUCUCAACCCAGAUCUCCCAUUUGAGAUUUACCAUCUUAAAGUGUGUGAACAUACGGACCCCAGGAUAAGGGGGGACACUGACCUCCAGACCUCGGUCGUAAAACCCUGCUCGACCAUACACUGAUAAAGACUACAUUCCGUUGGUGAAAGAAUACAAAUGACUGAUCAUGACAUCUUAUGCAUUCAGCAAUGUACUAAUCUGUCUAAUCAUGAAAUUUGUGUUAAAAUGAGAUGUUUCCCAUUUUUCUAUGUGCUCCAGAAGCCGAGUUAUCACUCUGACAGAAUAAAUCCUUAUUCUUUUGUUUCUUUAGACCAACAGCUUUUCAGACUGUUUCAUGAACUUUUAAGAGUUAAAUUUAUUGACUAUGGAUCAUAACUUUACUCUAAGUAACAGAAAUAGUUUAGAAAUGUUUGGUUUAUAUUUUAGUUGUUUAUUUAGUAUUUUUAACCAUUAGGUGGUUAUAAUGUCAUUGAAUAACCUGAAUGUGAGUAUUUAGAAUCCAUUAUUAAUCAUGAUGAAGUUCAUUCACAUGUGUUUACUCUUUUGUUGUUCACAGUUUCCAUGUGUUACUAUCUGUUUCAUUUCAGAGUAAUUUAGCAUGUUCAAUGUGAUACUUAAAACAUAAUGAGAAUGUUUGAUGUGAUCCUACACUUCAUUCAUAUGUGUUUAGUAUCAAAUUAUCAUGAAACCUAGCAUUCAAUGCUACUAAUCAUAGCGAGUGAGUAUCAGAUCUGACUCUUUUACCAGCCAAAAGUAUAAGUUAGAUCAAAUAAUCAGAGAUCCAAGGUCCUCUCUGCUUGGAGACCACACAACCCCUCCUCUGUCUCCUCACACACACACGCCGGAGACACUCCCAGUGUGAGAAGAUAAAACCAGUAAAGUGGGGUUGCUCACUCUCUUGUCCACUUUCUUGCCCCUUACUCUUGGGCCCUUCUCUUCUGUCUACACCCUUCUGUGGUCCUCUUUUUCUUUGUUAUCUCUUAGAACUUUUUCUUAGUCUACUAAGUUUUACGCCACGUGUUGAUUCACGUUGAUUUUUCUUUAACAUCGUCUUAGUUCAAGUUUUGAAACUUCAACUUUUUGUGCGCAUAGCAAUUCAAGAUUAAGCCUUUGAUUGAUUUUUCUUUAAUUUCGCAAAGCCAUUUUUGAAAGUUUUCUCUGCUCGAGUCUCGUUUUUCUGAGUUAUCUGCGUGAUUUCAAAGUCACCUCUGAACGCAACCCAGCAGGCCCAGGUCAUCCUCUGUGCCAGAGUUUUUGAGUGAGACCAAAGAAGUACCCAAACGAGCAUCCACAGGAUCCACAGGCGCUGGCUUUGCUUCGGGCCCGAGUGCUGCAACUCCUGGCUCAUCCUUCGGCUGACUUCAGUCGUCUUCUGAGCUGAACCGCUCGAACCGCCAGUAGCCCCGGACCUUCGGAACCUGCUCCAUCUUCUCCAAGGACCAGUCUCACUUAAGUAUGCAAACCUCCAGAGCUCCAAAGAGGGCUGAUGCUGUCCCAUGCGUUCAUAACUCAGAUAUCCACUUAUUCUGGUAAUCUUAGACUCCUCCAAAUCCACAUCCGAGUUUAUCUUGACACCAAAGUUAGUGUAGGUUAAUAUGUUAGGGCAUAUUCACUCACUAUCAUUAACUUUAGUGCUCCUAGCCUGACUCAGAAUCUUUAUUUAUUCACCUAUUAUUAUUUAUCUUCAUUAUCUUAUCAUCAUUUAUUGCAUGUAUGUUGUACCAUCAUUUAUCCUGUAAUAAACAGAUCAUUAUUUUUCUAAGUUCUUGACUGUUAGUGUUCUUCCAGAAGUGGAGUCCCUGAAAUGAGAAUUUCAGCUUAAGAUAUGAGACUGAUUAAUUAAAACUGACUUGAUGUUUGAUUUCUGAAUUAAACUUUUUUCUUUAUUUUCCCACCAUUAAGGGUGGGUGGUGCCCCUUUCAACGAGUGCAUAAAUGUCAUAAUUUGAGAUUAUUAAUCUUCAGACAUUUAUUAUAAAUUCCAAUCGCUACAGUAUUAUUUUGGUGCGACCGUGCGAGGCUCAUUUCAAACCGUAUUAUUUUGGUGCGGCCGUGUGAGGCUCAUUUCAAAUCGCUACAUAUAUUUUGGUGCCCCUGCGUGAGGCGUUUCAAACAAAACUUCUGGAUACUAACAGACAACCUAAAACUUAGCCUUCCAAAUUGAUGAGAGAAACUUAUUUCCAGGCUAUUUUAGACUUAAUCACAAUCAUUGCUAUGCUUGCUGAAGUUGCUUGACUAAGUUCUGAUGUUUUCCUGAUCUAUGCAUAAAACCUUUAUGCUCUGUGUUUCACACACUUUUGUACUACAUGCCUGUAGUCUGUGUUUGAGCUGGACAGCGUGAAAUGUUGUUCUGAGUAGCAGGGAGACUGAUUCUUCUGCUCUGUCUAGACUGUCCAAUAUUUAAGUGCACGAUUGUUGCGUCGCCAUACGCUUGUAUUUAAGGCCUUUGGCUGAACCCAGUGUUUGCGAUGCUCCGAGCUGUGGUUUCAAGCCCCUGAAGUCUCUGUAGUCUGCUACGAGGUUCUAGUAACUAUAUGGGAUUCAGAUUUCCUCCUUUCCCCUGACAGAUUAGCUACCUGUCACAGGACACCACUGUAACAGUGGGAGGUUGUUGUUUGAAUGAAUUCAGACCAAAAUUUGUGUUCACAAAUUGCCGCAUUUGUGAUUUUAAAGUCUGCAGUUCAAUCUGCUGUUGAGGGAUUUGUCACUUUGAUUCUUGUUCUUGUAAAUGAUUUUAUUGAACCAAUCUGCCUGAGCAGAUGGUGUAAAGUUCUAUGUUUGAGGGUGCAGAAGCAGCCUGCUGUGAAACGUUAACCCUUUAUUGUCAGUGGACAGACUGACCAUUUGGCCUUAAGCAGAUAAGGCCCUUCAAGGAGGCAGAGCCUAAAGGCCCCUUCCUUCAUACUUCCCAACUCCACACAGCCACAAGAGGCUAGUUGGAUGACUGUUUCCUCUUUUCUUCUUCUUCUCCACUUGUGUUGAGCUUGUGCAGUUAUCCCAACUCCAUACUGCCCCACAUGGUUGCUUUGGUAUUGAGCUAACACUGUUAUCAUCUGCCUGCAGCAUCAGCCAGCUGUACUGCCUCUCUGUAGUCAGUGUGUAACACUCUACAGACAUAAUUCAAGUGAUUGACUUGGUUGAUAAAGUUUGAUGUGCUUAUUCUAAAUCAUUGAUCACUGAUUUUUGAUUUUUAUCUUUGUUAUAAGAGCCUACAUAAUGUAUUGAUAAAGUAACUCCUUGAAUCAAUCACCUGAUCUUGUGUUACUUAUCACACCAUUGAGCAGUUUUACUGUUCCCUAUAAUACAUGAAUGUAUUAACCCUCCUCAUAAGAUUAAUUAAUUAAUGAACAAAUUCAUUAAUAUUUCAAAUUUCUUUUAACAUUCCAGAUAAAUUGGUAGUUGAACCUUUGGAUUUAUUGCAAUUUGUGAAUUAACUUCAGAGUUAAUUUCUUAAAUUGACAAUUUCAUUGAUUUUUCAAAUUCAUCCAACUGCAUCAGGCAGUUUAUUUAAGCUUUGCUGAUUUCUUUAACACAGAGACAAAUUGAACCCUUUAUUCAAUGGUUCUGUAUCUAAUGUUAGAUUUAAUUUAACAUUAUUUCACCUUGUUUUAUUUCAAUUUUCAUUGAAAUUAAUUUAACUUAAUGUUAUUUUUCUCUCCAUUAGAUAUCUACUCAGAUAGGCUCUUCCUCUUUAUCAAGCACUGAUAAAUUAAGUUGAUUAACCCACUUAAUUUGAUGUUUUGCUCCUUUCUUUCAUUUUAAGCCAACUCAAACUCAUCAACCAACCACGUGCACCUCUUUACCAAAACCAAACAUGCCUAACACAAAAGAGUCCAGCCAGGGAGACCCCCUGAGGGACAUACACACAGUGUUGGCAAACUUAACUAGUCAGCUGAUACCUCAGUACAUGACUAAGAUUCAAAAGGCCAAACCCUCCAAUCCGGAGGAUGCAAUGGCUGACUUACUGGAAACAGCCUUAACCACGACACUUAGUGACAAAGAGCUCACUAGAUGCAUGUCUGUCGUGAUGUCUUCUCAGCUUGAGUAUAAAGACUACUUGCUGGAAUGCGCUUUAGCAAAGAUAAAGGCGCAAAAAGACGAAAACAGCGCCCUGAAAAAGACGCUAGAAGAGACUAAGAAGUCUCUAAGUGUUUUAGAAAAACACAGUGCCAGAUGUGAAGCGUCAAAGCUUCCCUCACUGAUAAGUCAUGAAGAAAAUCUUGAUCUCAAAGACAAGAUUGAAAGACUUAAUGAAACCCUUUACAAAAAGGAGAAAGAACUUGAUGACACGAAUAAGCAGCUUGCUAAGACCACACAGGAUCUGAUACAGUCAGAAUCCCUACUAGAGCAAGCAACAGAAGAUGUAAAAGCUUUGAAAGCACUGGUCAAAGUGCGUGCUGAAGCUCUUGAAGUUAAGGAGAAGCAAACUUCUACCUUACAGCACCAGCUCCAGAUAGCUCAAAGACAGUUAAUUCUUUGUCAAGAACGGCAAGAAAAGACAGACAAAGAACUUGAAGAUGUCCAAAGAGAGUUACAAUGCUCCCUCCAGUCAGACCGAGCCCAAAGAGAACGCAUGGAGCAAACGUUUCUUGAAGAAAUGAUAGGUGAUCAGCCUCCUGAGAGAGCGCCAUUACUUCCUUCCAAACCAACUCUUAAGUAUCUCUCUCAGCAUCAUGACAGGACCCUGCUUGACCCUGAGAGGUCAUCCUUAAACCAAAAGUCCCACUCUCCUCCUCAUGAUGGCUUCUUACCAUCUCCCUCAGAUAGGGAUCUUGACAAAAUUGCUCGCAACAUAGCACGCUUUGAACCUGAGCACCAAGGUGCUACUGACACCUGCACCUACUUGAAAGACAUUGACUUUUACCUGCGUAAAUUUCCAGGUGCAACCAUUGAUGACAAAAUCUACCUUAUUAAGGCGACGUCAAGUCGAGAGGUUAGCAGUUUCCUUGAACGACAGCCUUAUCAUGUCAGAAAUAAUUAUGACUUGCUCUGCCAAGCAUUAAUCGAAGAGUUUUCUGAUCAUUUGACCCAGACAGGCCUUUCUGCUGCUCUGUCUAUUAAACAAGGGAGAUCAGAAUCUCCCCAACAAUAUUACAACCGCUUACGCGAAGCUUACUUCAACCAGAAAUGGAACCAGAAAUGGAGGAGGACUUGAACUUCAAAACGCUGUUCGUCCAGAACCUCCACCCUACCACGAGUCAUCACCUUGGCGUCUUAGCUUGUCCAAACACUUUGACUAGCCGACAGAUUUGUGAACUUGCUGUAAAAGGUUUUGCCAAACAACAACAAACUUUGGCUAAGAAAGCAGAGCCCGUUACUCUCUUGGCUAUGGAGACAAAAUCACUGCCCAUGGAGCUGAACGAAGCUUCAGACUGUGUAUUUUCAGGCUCCGAUAAGCCUCCAAAUGAGUGGUUAACCUGGCCUCCAAAACCUUUUCGACCUCAACAAACUCACAAAGGUCAAAGUUACACACCAAGGCCCAGGUUUGACACAAACCAAUGCCAGGUAAACUUUGAGACCAACUGUUGUUAUUCAGACUCCCGUCACUGUGGGUUUUAUCCCAGACAAAGGAAAAAUCAUCAACACCGCCAAAGGGGGGUGAAUGACUGGCAGAAUCAGAGUAAAUCACACUCUCAGAAACGUCGAUCUUAUUAUCCACCUCAAUCGGUUUCAUCCACUUUGAAGGUGAAUAAACAUGACAACUCAGUUAACCACUGAGAUUAACACACUCUGGAGUCAUGAAGGCGUGAGUCCUGCAAAAGCAGAAGUCACCCAGCCAAAGCUAAAUGACAGCAGAAGUGCAGGAAUAUAAUAAAGCAGCAUCCAUCACUUGCACAAUUACCAUUCAAAGAGUCUAAAACGGGCGCAGUAACUACUCUCUGCCUGCGGGGGUCGUCUUUCCCCACCGCUCAUCUAGUGUGUCCGAAUUGGGCCAACGUCUUUAAUAUGUAUAAGCAGGAUCUAGCAGUAGUAUGUAGCAGCAGUAUGUAGUAUGCGAGCGGGCAAUUCGGACACAGCACGUUUUUGAAGCGCGCUUACCAUUUUGUGCCAAAUGGGACACCGUUCGUGCCGCGUGAUGACCUCACGCGAGCUUCAAAUGCGCUGUUCGAUGGUUGCGGUCUCUGAAAUGGGACACAGGAAGGGUACAUAACGGCGCAUAACGGCACAUAACGGCACAUAACGGCAGUGCGCUCAGCUAAGCGCUUAAACGCGCUUAUCCUGAUGCGGUCUCUGAAAUGAGACACAGCCAUAGACUGUGGCUGUGUCCCAUUUCAGAGACCGCACUGUCGAACAGCGUUGAACGGCGCAUUUGAAGCGUGCAUGAUGUCAUCACGCAGCGCGAACGGUGUCCCAUUUGGCACGAAAUGCUAAGAAAUGCUAAGCGCGCUUAGCAUUUUUCAAGCAUGGAUUUAUGCACGCUUUCUUGCCGUUGGUAUCCCGGAAUUCUUUACGUGCCGCUGCACAGCUGCGCAUUUCGGGUGAGAGGCUGGACUCGCUUGGAGAAGCAGCGCGUCUUCAAAGAAAAUAAAAGAAAUCCAAAAACUAAAUGACUUUAGUUUAUGAUAUGAAUCCAUAUGCCAUAAUAAGGUGUUGGUGUCUCUGCAGGUGUAGGUUACCGCCGGUGUCAGAGACGUGGUGCUUGUCGGAGCUCGACUCCCUCUGGAUCACAAAUGUUGAUCAUCAGUUUGAUUGUUUCUUCAGAAACCACAAAAUGUCUCUGAAUGACCCGCUGAUACAUCCACCGAUAAACCUGCAGAUGACC